ensembl:lncRNA
UGUCCCCAUGUCCCCAUGUCCCCGUGUCCCCAUGUCCCCGUGUCCCCAUAUCCCCAUGUCCCCAUGUCCCCAUGUCCCCAUGUCCCCAUGUCCCCGUGUCCCCAUAUCCCCGUGUCCCCGUGCCACACCCGUGUCCCCAGGCUGAUGUCACAGCGACGUCCCCAGGUCACUUUGCUGUCCCCACGCAGGGAUCACGUUCCUGUCGGGGGGUCAGAGCGAGGAGGAGGCGUCUCUGAACCUCAACGCCAUCAACCGCUGCCCGCUGCCGCGGCCCUGGGCGCUGACCUUCUCCUACGGCCGCGCCCUGCAGGCCUCGGCCCUCAAGGCCUGGGGCGGCAAGAAGGACAACACCAAGGCGGCCCAGGAGGAGUACGUGAAGAGAGCACUGGCCAACUCCCUGGCGUGCCAGGGCAAGUACACCCCGAGUGGCACAGCGGGAGCGGCCGCCAGCGAGUCCCUGUUCGUGUCCAACCACGCCUACUGACCACUGACCACCGCCUGCUGCCCAGUGACCCCAGUGCCCCCUGCCCCAGCCCUGCCCCAGCCCUGCAGUAAAAGGUCGCGGGUGAACUCACAAGGCUUCGUUGGGAGUUUUUUUGGGGGGACUUUUGGAAGCGAAAUUUGGGGGGUCUGGGGUGGGGUUUGGGAUGUUUUAGUCCCAAAUUUCCCAGAAUCAUGGAAUCAAUCCCAGAAUCCCAGAAUCAACCCCAAAAUCAGAGAAUCACAGAGUCCCAAAACACAGAAUCCCAGAAAUCCAGAAUCAAUCCCAGAAUCCCAGAUUCAAUCCCAGAACCACAGAAUCCCAAAUUCACGGAAUCCCAGAAUCAAUCCCAAAAUCAGAGAAUCCCAGAAUCCCAAAACACAGAAUCCCAGAAAUCCAGAAUCAAUCCCGGAACCACCAAGGUGGGAAGAGACCUCCGAGACCACAGAGUCCAGCCUGGCCCUGACACCACAGCGGCCCCGUGGCGCUGAGAGCUGCAUCCCAAAUAUCCCAGUGAUUGACACAUCCCGAAUAUCCCGGAGUGAUUGACACAUCCCCAAUAUCCCACAGUGAUUGACACAUCCCGAAUAUCCCAGUGAUUGACACAUCCCCAAUAUCCCACAGUGAUUGACACAUCCCCAAUAUCCCACAGUGAUUGACACAUCCCCAAUAUCCCAGUGAUUGACACAUCACUGACCACACUGACCACUGCCCACACUCACCAGAGUGACCACUGACCAAAGUGACCACUGCCCACACUCACCAGAGUGACCACACUGACCACUGACCCACACAAAUCUCCCAUAGAAACCCCCCUCCUGACCCUGUCCGCACUCUGGACCUAUCCCCAUCCCUUUGCCCACAAAUUCUGGGAUUUCGGGUCAUUCUGGGCCCCUUUUCCCUCUAUUUCGGGUGCCGGCGUUCAUUUCUGGAACAUUUUCCACGCCCCAUUUCCAGCCCCGCCUUUCCCGGGACUUUAUUCUCCCAAUUUUGGCCAUUCCGGGUAUUUCGGACUCCCCUUCCACAGGGAUUUUAUCUUUUCGGGUGGUUUUGGGUCCCUUUCCGCUCAAUUUU